CGUGACCGCACAGUAGGAAAGGCAGUGACCUCCCCUGGCCUGCGGGUCUGGACCACGUUCCUUUUUGAAAAGAAGAGAACGUGAGCGCGGGAUGGAGAAAAGCACGCGGGGCAGACAGUGCGCGGGCUGGUGCGGGAGGAAGGGGCAAUGUUCGGAAUAUCAAUCACUCCACGCGCCGCUGACCCGCGAGGGCUGGGGAGGGGGGGCUGGGGGAGGGGGACAAAGGCUCCUCCCGAGCAGACGGCGCAGCGCCCCUCCCUCGAGGUUACAGCUCUGCCCUCGGGCCGGCUCUGGGCGCGGGACUGGCAGAGGGACUCGGGGUGACCAGGUCGCCUGGCUCCUUGGGGUUCGGCAGUCUGCACGCCCGAGCGCUCCGGGUGCAGAGGGGGCGUCUUUCUGCGCCCGCCUCUCCCGGACCCUCCGUGGGGUUCCUGGCCCUGGCACAGCCCCUCUGGGUGGGGUGGGGGUGAAGAAUGUCCUACGGAAGCAGGGUGGGGAUCGCGGAGCAGCCCUCGCCCGGCGCGCGGGGUGCUUUCUGCAGAAGAACCACUUGGGCUCAGAACUCUCCUCCCACUACAGCUCCAGCCCCGGGCGCCGGGGGCAGAGUCCAGGGGGGAGUUGGGGGGCUGGUCCGCCGGAGGGAAGCGCGGGGUGGGCGUCCGGGGUUGCUCCCCGCCCGGGGCGCCCGCGCGCGGCACUUCCUGGUCUGCCCCGCAGCCUCCGCCAGCGCCCCUGGCUCCCAGCCCUGCGCCCCAACUCUGGCGCCUCUAUGUCGGUGCACGCCCGCACCCCUCUCCUUCCCAGCGCCCAGGGUCCCUGUCCCGGGCAGCCUCGCCCUCACCCCGAGCCAGUCCACUCUGCCAGCGUGGCAGCCCGACUCCCCCCCUUUCCCGCGGGGUGCGGCGCCGGGGCCCCGGGGUGAGGCGGCCGCGGGAACGCGAGGGGGGCAUCCCCGAGGCGCGGGCCGACCCUGCGCAAGUUCUCUCCGGGCUCGGAGACCCCCGGUGGGUCCCGCGGGCUCAGCCGGCGGCACUGCAGUCCCCGGGCGGCGGGAGCAGGCGAGGCCAGCGCCAGGCCUGGGAGGGACCGCGCCGGGGCCGGGGUGCGGGGGUGCUCGGGGCGGUACCGCUUUAAAUGCACUUGACUCACCUGCUCCGGCGCGUCCCUGCUCCCCGCUGACAGCUGGGGGCUUUGUUUUCUCCUCCCACCCGGCGGCCCCGCCCCCGCCCACGUGACUCGCCGUCUGCCGCCGCCGCUCGGCGGGUCCGCCCCCGGGAGCCCGGCCCGCGCCGCUCCGCCCCUUCCCGGGGGUGCGGGGCGGAGACCCCAGCGGAGAGAGGUGACCCGCCUGCGGGGCGGUGGGGAGGUGGCACGCUGGUUAGGACCCUAGGGAGCCAGGGUCAACUUAUGCUUCAGCCAAGGUCAGUCAGCUCCAGGCAUUGAUCAUUGAAGCUCUUCUGUGACAUAGGAGCCGGGAAGUGUCUUCCAUCUUGAUUCUACCCUGGGGACACACCAACCAUUAAUAAGUAAGGUUUCAUCAACACAAGAACAUUUGCUGCUUUGGCUGACAUUGGUGAUCAUUCUCCACUUGAGGAGUGAAAAUGUGUCUACGAAGAAGGAAGUAUUUCAGUGAGAUCCAAGUGUCCCAUGUUUCCCCGCAUAAUUGUCUGAAUUAUGUUUUUCACAAAGAAUUUUCUUGUUUUCGAGGGAAUGUUGAAAUGUAGCCUAAUGAGUAAAUAUCUGUCCACAAACAGAGGGGAAAAAGCACUUGUAUCAGUGUGAACUAAUAAAAUCUUGGUUUUACAUAAGCUUUUUGGGUUAUUUUUCUAAAGAACAGAGAUUCUGUCAACUAAACUUGCUUCUGACAUCCCCCGAUACCUCAUGUAUCUAAAAGAGGUAAAAGCAUUGAUGAAUGCUGUUAGCUCUAACAUGCAAUAUGGAUAUAGACUAUUAUAAUGUGUUGCUGGGCACUGAAUCAUGCUUUUGAUCUCAACAAUUUUAUGUUGUCUCUGCCCACACCCAUCAGUGAUAUCCUUUUAAAAACAUGUACCUCUCAUAAAACUGUUCCCAGAUAAAUAUUUUUACAGAACAUAAGCAUUUGCCUAAAACUAGUAUUCUGAGGCUUCAAUCAUACAUUUCCACAAAUAUCUAAGAUGAGUUAUUGAAAACGGGAGACAGAGUUUAUCAAUUCAUAUUUUAAACUGUAUGCUCAAAUACUUUUCAUUUUAUCUGAUUUAUUUUUAGCUCAGAGUGCUUGCUAACCUGUGGUACUGCCUAAGUAUAAAUCAUAGCCUCAACAGACAUGCUGCAGUGAGCCACUUAUGAAUGCAUUGUAAUGCCAUGCAGACAGAGAUGGAAAUGUUCAGUACCAAGAUAUGACAGCAUUUAUCAAGAUGGGGCAUGCAGGAAGCAGCUGAUCAAUGAUUCUCUCAUCACUGAUGUUUCUCUCUCUCUCUCCCUCUCCAUUCCUCUCUGAAGUCAAUAAAAAAUAUAUUAAAAAAAGAAAUCCUAUGUAAUAAAAGCCUAACAUGCUAAGUGUC